UAGGGAUAGUAAUAGAGAGAGAGGGAUAGUAAUAGAGAUAGGGAUAGUAAUAGAGAGAGAGGAUAGUAAUAGAGAGAGAGGAUAGUAAUAGAGAGAGAGGGAUAUAAUAGAGAGAGAGGAUAGUAAUAGAGAGAGAGGAUAGUAAUAGAGAGAGAGGAUAGUAUUAGAGAGAGAGGAGGGAUAGUAAUAGAGAGAGAGGUGGGAUAGUAAUAAAGAGAUAGGGAUAGUAAUAGAGAGAGGGAUAGUAAUGUAGAGAGAGGAUAGUAAUGGAGAGAGGGGGAUAGUAAUAGAGAAAGAUGGAUAGUAAUAGAGAGAGAGGAUAGUAAUAGAGAGAGAGGGAUAGUAAUAGAGAGAGAGGGGAUAGUAAUAGAGAGAGGGGAUAGUAAUAGAGAGAGGGAUAGUAAUAAAGAGAUAGGGAUAUAAUAGAGAGAGGGAUAGUAAUGUAGAAAGGGGAUAGUAAUAGAGAGAGAGGAUAGUAAUAGAGAGAGGAUAGUAAUAGAGAGAGAGGGAUAGUAAUAGAGAGAGAGGAUAGUAAUAGAGAGAGGGAUAGUAAUAGAGAGAGAGGGAUAGUAAUAGAGAGAGAGGGGUUAGUAAUAGAGAGAGAGGGAUAGUAAUGUAGAGAGAGGAUAGUAAUAGAGAGAGGUGGGAUAGUAAUAAAGAGAUAGGGAUAGUAAUAGAGAGAGGGAUAGUAAUAGAGAUAGGGAUAGUAAUAGAGAGAGGGAUAGUAAUGGAGAGAGAGGGACAGUAAUAGAGAGAGGGAUAGUAAUAGAGAGAGAGGGAUAGUAAUGUAGAGAGAGGAUAUUCAUAGAGAGAGGGAUACUCAUGGAGAGAGAGGAUUGUAACAGAGAGAGAGGGAUAUUCAUAGAGAGAUAGGGAUAGUAAUAGAGAGAGAGGUGGGAUAGUAAUAAAGAGAUAGGGAUAGUAAUAGAGAGAGAGGGAUAG
rnacentral:lncRNA from 1 species